CAGGACCUUCAGCAGCAGAGGGAAGGGAAGAAAGUCAUAUAGGAUUCCUUUGUCCCAUGGAAGGGAAGAAAAAACUAACGGAAACCCUAUAAUACUAAGAAGAAAAAGUGAACGAAAAUGCCUGAGUUUGCAAAGACCCUGAAACAAUAGCUGCAAGGCAUGGAGAGCUCACAGAGCAACUGCCCAGCUGACCAUGCCAGCUCCACAUAGCAAAUGUGCUCCUGCAUGGAUUACACAGGAGGUAGUGGAUCUCCCGGGUCUGCGGGAAGAAGAGGAUGUGCAGGGACAGCUCCUAACCAGCCAUAGAAAGGUUGACAUAUACAAGCAGAUUGCUUAGGGUACAGGGGAGAAGGGAUGCAACGGACACUCAGCAGUGCCACAUGAAAAUCAAGGAGCUGCAGAAGGCAUACCAGAAGGCAAGGGAAGCAAAAAACUACUCUGGUGCGGGGGCGCAAACAUGCUGCUUCAACAAGGAGCUACAUGCCAUGCUACUGUGGGGGAGACCACCACCACUGCCAAGAGCCUCAUGGAUACUUUGGGAGAGAUGGAGUCACAGGCCCCCACAAUGCAUAGUGAGGAGAAGGUGGUGUUGGAUGAGGAAGGGGAGAAGUAGGGGGACAGGCAAUUAGGGGAUCCAGUGGCACGGCGAGCCAGGACCUCUUUCUGACGCCGGAGCAGUUGAGUCACUCCCAAUAGUCCAGCACCAGCAAGCCUAACGCAGGGGAAGGAACCUCUGGGUGCGUAUGCAGUUUGCUUUGACAUUGCAGUACCCUUACCACUCCAC